UUAUUCUCAACCUGUUUGGAGCAAACGCUUCGAUCGCAAGUAGUGCAGUAGAUUCAGCUUGACCCCGCGGCUCAAGUCCAAUCUGGCAACCAAAUGUUCUGGGUGUAAUAUUCACUGACACAAUGAACUGGCGUGCACAGUGCGAAUAUGCGAGUGGGAAACUAAGAAGUGCAACAUACUUGUUUGUGAAAAUGGGCAAGAGAGUGCCUAAGAGUAGUCUCAGACAG